rnacentral:rRNA from 1 species
GACGAACGCUGGCGGCGUGCUUAACACAUGCAAGUCGAACGAUGAAGCUGGAGCUUGCUCCGGUGGAUUAGUGGCGAACGGGUGAGUAACACGUGAGUAAUCUGCCCCUGACUCUGGGAUAACUGCGGGAAACUGUAGCUAAUACCGGAUACGACACCUUCGGGCAUCCGAUGGGUGUGGAAAGAAUUUCGGUCAAGGAUGAACUCGCGGCCUAUCAGCUAGUUGGUGAGGUAAUGGCUCACCAAGGCGACGACGGGUAGCCGGCCUGAGAGGGUGACCGGCCACACUGGGACUGAGACACGGCCCAGACUCCUACGGGAGGCAGCAGUGGGGAAUAUUGCACAAUGGGCGAAAGCCUGAUGCAGCAACGCCGCGUGAGGGAUGAAGGCCUUCGGGUUGUAAACCUCUUUUAGUUGGGAAGAAGCGAAAGUGACGGUACCAACAGAAAAAGCACCGGCUAACUACGUGCCAGCCGCCGCAGUAA